ACAAAAGAAGCUGGACAUUAUGCAGCCUUCCAAAACUCCUCUGUGUUAAAUGGAACUGGCCAGAAGAUGAUUUUCUGUUUUACAAAGAUUCAACAAACAGCUACAGACAAGAUGCAACUACAGAGACGUGUUCCUCUACCAGUGUCCAGGUUUCUUCACAACACUUCACAGCAGAAGGACUACAUGGAGAGCUAAACAUGUCAAAGAAGCUGGACAUCAUGCAGCCUUCCAAAACUUCUCUGUGUGAAAUGGC